CAUGUGGUUUAUAGGGGAUAUACUAAAAGGACUGCAAGAGAAAAGGUCACAAAUCUUUGCUCUCAAAUUAAUCUUUGGCACAUAAAAUCUUACAAAGUUAAUUUAACACCACUGACAACAUUUUACAGGAAUAAAACACAAUGCAUGGCUCUUCUUUGCUCUAACGACUGCAUAUUAAAGAUCAUAACCAAGUGUGUUGUUGGCAUAAGCUUGAGGAGCCCAUAUGACUGAUGCAUACUCGAUGUGUGGUCUCACCAAUGCAUUAUACAAACGAAUUGUAGUAUCUAUAUGAAAAUGCUUAGAAUUCCUAAUUACAAACCCCAGAAUCUUGUAUGACUUGUUUGUUAUCUUUGUAUAAUGUUCACCAAAUCUCAAACUCGCCUGCAGAUGCACUCCCAGAUCUCUACAUGUUGUCUUUCUGAAUAGAGCGCGCUUGUUUACAUUGUACUAACAAUCAAUAAAACUUAGUUUACGUGUAAA